rnacentral:lncRNA from 1 species
ACCUUAGAGUAUCAAGGGCACUCUUAAAAACCUCUAACUUUUACGGGUAAGUUAGUACCUUAGAGUAUCAAGGAACUCUUAAAAACCUCUCUAAGCUUUAAGGCUACUUCGCUUAGGAACCAGUCUUUUACGGGUAGACUCACACCUUAGAGUAUCAAGGGCACUCUUAAGAACCUCUAACUUUUACGGGUAAGUUAAUACCUUAGAGUAUCAAGGAACUCUUAAAAACCUCUGAAAUCUUUAAAGGUAGACUCAACCUAAGAGUUUUCUCGGAAACUCUAUAAAAUCAAACUAGAGCUUUAUGGUUGAGCUCACAAACCUUCUCUAACACUUUGGUACUAUUGAGACAACCCUCUCAACCAAAGUGGACACACACAAGAAGUGAUUAGAGGAGUGGAAUAUUAAAGCAAACAACACUUCUUACUUGUAAAGAUGAACAAGAAGAUUAGAAGAAGAAGUUGGAGAGCUUUUGAAGCUUUGGAAAGCUAGAACACUUGAGCACUUGAAAGCUUGGAAGCUUGGAGGCAAAAACGUGUGGGCAAGUGUGGAGUGAAAGCUCUUGAGUUUGCUUGUAGUGUGGUGAGUGAAAAUGGG